GAAAAUAAUAGGCCCUGAAAUUUGUAUUUAAACCAUCCACCAUUUCCUAUUUCUGUCCAGUUUUACAGCUGUGAUUCACAGUCUGCCAUAAUUUCUUCUGGAAGAGUGUGAUUGUAAUGAACUCAUAGUGAGGGAGUGGGAAGUUAUAUAAAUAUAUAUUUUAAAUUGUAUUAACUUCUCCUAUAUAUACAUUUGGCUGGAUCUUUAGCUUCUUUUCAUUACAGAAGAACAAAGGGAAUGGUUUAAUUUUCAGCUCUAGUGGACUUCCAUUUCAAGAAUUCAUAGUGUCUGUUUCUAAGGUUACCACCUAAGGGUUGUAUAUUAAUCAACUCUAUACUGAUGGAAUAAAGCAAUAUCAAUGGAGAUUAUCUUCUCUUCAGGGAGAAGACACACUGAUGUAGCAGCUAAAUUGCAUUCCUUUGCUGUUACACUGUAGUUUAGUUGUAGGAUAGGCAUAAUUAUUUACCUGCCUUACAGUUCUCUCUCUCUCUCUCUCUCUCUCUCUCUCUCUCUCUGUGUGUGUGUGUGUGUGUGUGUUGGGAGAGAUUAUGCCCAAACAAAUUUUGAGGUAAUAUUUUAUUUAUAACAACCUGAAACUCCAUUUAUUCCUGAAACCAGAAGACUGAUCUGCUGUCUCUCUUGAGCUUCAUUUGUGAUCUAGGUAGGUGUAACAAGGUGAGGGUUUUGUCACACUGAGUUAAAAUUGGCUGUACACAGCUGUCAAUUCUCAGUUACCUCAUGGCAACUGUGUGUGGGUGGGUGGCUGUCUGACUGGCAACUGGACAGAAAACAUCAAAAUGUUAUAAUAAGCCAAACAGGGAAGUGCAAACUUUGUGUGGAACAUCAACAAUCAUGAACCGAACAUGCAUAAAUAAGCCACCAUUGUAUGACAGCUACAUUUUAUUCCUUUAAAAAGAAAACAAGCUUUGGUUAAGCAUGUCAAGGUAUAAAUGUGUUUUAUAUGUUGGGAUUUAUGUAAGUCUCAUGUCUGUGUAAAAAAGGCUUUGACUUGUAGGCUGAAAUCCAGUUGGUGCAACUCUGCCAAAGAGAAUGACAUACUCCAGCAGGGAUUCUUUAUCAACAUUGUGCUUUAGAAGAAAUCAGCGUUAAGGACCCAUCACACACAGAGACAUCUGUAGGAUAGUUCCAAAAAGCCCUCAGAUUCUCUCCAGAAAAUGACAGAAGAGUGAUUUUGUGUUUAAACUUGGACGGGACAAUUUAUUAAAUGCAAACAUAUUUCUUUUAUUUCAGUACAAAUAAAUAUGAUUACAGAAUCCCUACCUGCA
rnacentral:lncRNA from 1 species